rnacentral:rRNA from 1 species
UACGGGGGGGGUAAGCGUUGUUCGGAAUUACUGGGCGUAAAGGGCUCGUAGGCGGCCAACUAAGUCGGACGUGAAAUCCCUCAGCUUAACUGGGGAACUGCGUCCGAUACUGGAUGGCUUGAAUCCGGGAGAGGGAUGCAGAAUUCCAGGUGUAGCGGUGAAAUGCGUAGAUAUCUGGAGGAACACCGGUGGCGAAGGCGGCAUCCUGGACCGGCAUUGACGCUGAGGCGCGAAAGCCAGGGGAGCAAAGCGGG